GUUGUACUCCCUCCGUCCAAAAAUACUUGUCAUCAAAAUGGAUAAAAAGAGAUGUAUCUAAAACUAAAAUACGUCUAGAUACAUCCCCUUUUAUCCAUUUUGAUGACAAGUAUUUCCGGACGGAGGGAGUAGAUC
rnacentral:pre_miRNA from 1 species